rnacentral:rRNA from 1 species
AGUCGAACGGUGAACACGGAGCUUGCUCUGUGGGAUCAGUGGCGAACGGGUGAGUAACACGUGAGCAACCUGCCCCUGACUCUGGGAUAAGCGCUGGAAACGGCGUCUAAUACUGGAUAUGUGACGUGACCGCAUGGUCUGCGUCUGGAAAGAAUUUCGGUUGGGGAUGGGCUCGCGGCCUAUCAGCUUGUUGGUGAGGUAAUGGCUCACCAAGGCGUCGACGGGUAGCCGGCCUGAGAGGGUGACCGGCCACACUGGGACUGAGACACGGCCCAGACUCCUACGGGAGGCAGCAGUGGGGAAUAUUGCACAAUGGGCGCAAGCCUGAUGCAGCAACGCCGCGUGAGGGACGACGGCCUUCGGGUUGUAAACCUCUUUUAGCAGGGAAGAAGCGAAAGUGACGGUACCUGCAGAAAAAGCGCCGGCUAACUACGUGCCAGCAGCCGCGGUAAUACGUAGGGCGCAAGCGUUAUCCGGAAUUAUUGGGCGUAAAGAGCUCGUAGGCGGUUUGUCGCGUCUGCUGUGAAAUCCGGAGGCUCAACCUCCGGCCUGCAGUGGGUACGGGCAGACUAGAGUGCGGUAGGGGAGAUUGGAAUUCCUGGUGUAGCGGUGGAAUGCGCAGAUAUCAGGAGGAACACCGAUGGCGAAGGCAGAUCUCUGGGCCGUAACUGACGCUGAGGAGCGAAAGGGUGGGGAGCAAACAGGCUUAGAUACCCUGGUAGUCCACCCCGUAAACGUUGGGAACUAGUUGUGGGGUCCAUUCCACGGAUUCCGUGACGCAGCUAACGCAUUAAGUUCCCCGCCUGGGGAGUACGGCCGCAAGGCUAAAACUCAAAGGAAUUGACGGGGACCCGCACAAGCGGCGGAGCAUGCGGAUUAAUUCGAUGCAACGCGAAGAACCUUACCAAGGCUUG